UACGAAGGGGGCUAGCGUUGCUCGGAAUCACUGGGCGUAAAGCGCACGUAGGCGGCUUUCUAAGUCAGGGGUGAAAUCCUGGAGCUCAACUCCAGAACUGCCUUUGAUACUGGGAAGCUCGAGUCCGGAAGAGGUGAGUGGAGCUCCGAGUGUAGAGGUGAAAUUCGUAGAUAUUCGGAAGAACACCAGUGGCGAAGGCGGCUCACUGGUCCGGUACUGACGCUGAGGUGCGAAAGCGUGGGGAGCAAACAGG
rnacentral:rRNA from 1 species